GAUGAACGCUAGCUACAGGCUUAACACAUGCAAGUCGAGGGGAAACGACAUCGAAAGCUUGCUUUUGAUGGGCGUCGACCGGCGCACGGGUGAGUAACGCGUAUCCAACCUGCCCAUCACUUGGGAAUAACCUUGCGAAAGUAAGACUAAUACCCAAUGAUAUCCCACGAAGGCAUCGGAAUGGGAUUAAAGAUUUAUCGGUGAUGGAUGGGGAUGCGUCUGAUUAGCUUGUUGGCGGGGUAACGGCCCACCAAGGCAACGAUCAGUAGGGGUUCUGAGAGGAAGGUCCCCCACAUUGGAACUGAGACACGGUCCAAACUCCUACGGGAGGCAGCAGUGAGGAAUAUUGAUCAAUGGGCGAGGGCCUGAACCAGCCAAGUAGCGUGCAGGAAGACGGCCCUAUGGGUUGUAAACUGCUUUUAUAAGGGAAUAAAGUGGGUCACGUGUGACUUUUUGCAUGUACCUUAUGAAUAAGGACCGGCUAAUUCCGUG
rnacentral:rRNA from 1 species